GUUAGCGUGGGGGUAGGUGCCGGGGUGAUCCAGGGGGGCCGAGCGUUGUUCUGAGUCACUGGGCGUAAAGGGUGCGUAGGUGGUGGGGUAAGUCGGAUGGGAAAUCGCCGAGCGCAACUCGGAAAGGGCAUUGGAAACUACCCUGCUGGAGGGUCGGAGGGGGGACUGGAAUUCUCGGGGUAGCAGUGAAAUGCGUAGAUAUCGAGAGGAACACCAGUGGCGAAGGCGAGUCCCUGGACGACUCCUGACACUGAGGCACGAAAGCUAGGGGAGCAAACAGGAUUAGAUACCCCGGUAGUC
rnacentral:rRNA from 1 species